rnacentral:rRNA from 1 species
UACGGAAGGCAGCAGUGGGGAAUAUUGCACAAUGGGCGCAAGCCUGAUGCAGCCAUGCCGCGUGUAUGAAAAAGGCCUUCGGGUUGUAAAGUACUUUCAGUCGUGAGGAAGGUGUUAAGGUUAAUAACCUUAGCAAUUGACGUUAGCGACAGAAGAAGCACCGGCUAACUCCGUGCCAGCAGCCGCGGUAAUACGGAGGGUGCGAGCGUUAAUCGGAAUUACUGGGCGUAAAGGGCACGCAGGCGGUUAAUUAAGUUGGAUGUGAAAUCCCCGGGCUUAACCUGGGAAUGGCAUUCAAGCUGGUUAGCUAGAGUCUUGUAGAGGGGGUAGAAUUCCAUGUGUAGCGGUGAAAUGCGUAGAGAUGUGGAGGAAUACCGGUGGCGAAGGCGGCCCCUGGACAAAGGCUGACGCUCAUGUGCGAAAGCGUGGGGAGCAAAC